UUUGCAGGAGAAGGUGGAUAUUAAUGAUUAUGAAUAUAAAAAAAUCCCUAAGCCCAAGGAAAGCGCAUAAAACAACGAAAAGGUUACUGAGAUUCUCGUGUGCUAUAAUUUUGCAGCUCGUAGGGAUUCUCUUUUGCAAUAAUAUACCAGCAGUGCAGCUCUUCCUUUCCUUGAGUUAACUGGUGAAUUUUUUUGAUCGGUUGUUGCAUUGUGCAUGCUUUUUUAGUUGUAUAUGCAGCUCUAAGCAGGAUGAAUGUAAGUGACUCAGGCAAUUUUGGGAUUUUAAAUUUCCUGAAACAACCUAUCCAGAGGAAAGUCAGUUGUGGCAUUAAUGUGAAUAUUUAUGGAAGUGUUAUGUUCUCUUAGUCCUGAAACCCAGUGUCCAAUUUCAGCAAAGCCUGACAAGUUAGGGAUUUCAUAUACUUAUUUUUUGAAUUGUUCAAAUCGGUAACCUGCCUAGGAUGGUACGGUUUUCAAAAUUUGGCAUAUUAGUCUUAUCCAUUAUCUUGUUCAAUAGGGGUCUCAUUUUGUUUACAUCAAUUUGAGUUUGAAUUUUGAUUUCAAGAUAUCUCAUAUUAUGCAAGGUCAUAAUUAGUGAAGCUUAAGCUGGAAUGCUAUAAUAGUGAUAUUGAUUGGAAUUAUGCAGGUUUACAUUGGCGAGAGAGGAAUACCUAGUU
rnacentral:lncRNA from 1 species